GACAGAGGGUGCAAGCGUUGUUCGGAAUUAUUGGGCGUAAAGGGCGCGUAGGUGGCCUUGUAAGUCAGAUGUGAAAGCUCUGGGCUUAACCCAGAAAGUGCAUCUGAUACUGCUCGGCUUGAGUCUCGGAGAGGAUGGUGGAAUUCCCAGUGUAGAGGUGAAAUUCGUAGAUAUUGGGAGGAACACCGGUGGCGAAGGCGACCAUCUGGACGAAGACUGACACUGAGGCGCGAAAGCUAGGGGAGCGAACGGG
rnacentral:rRNA from 1 species